UGGGCAGGACGCACCCAUCGACCAGUCGCUUUAUCAAGUCCCUGUCAUUAAAGAGAUUCCCCACCGGCUCUUCCUCGGAGCCGUGGGAUUCUUCGAUGGUAGCUCGAUGAUCGCUGACCCAGCGGGCCACCGCCUUCUUUCUCCUCCCCCUCUCAACCCCUGGUGCCUCCUCGGAGCGGGCCCCCGGAGCGAGAGCCUCGACGGGAGAACUCCUCGAAGAGGCUCGAGGAACUGGGGGCUCGAUGUCUGAAGGAACAU
rnacentral:lncRNA from 1 species